UCGUAUUGUAGUAUUCACAGUCAAUCGAAAAUUGUGCAGCAAUAAGAACGUAUUCAAGUGUAGCGUGCUUAAUCGAUGAAAGCGGAAAAAGAAAUUUUUGAAGAAAUAAUCCCGAAUGAUUGAGUUUACGUUUGGCCAAUAGAACGGAGUAUGGAUUUUUGCUAGUUUGUUUUUCAUGGAAAAGUACCUGCUUGCUUCGCUCGUAGCAUCGACUCGACUAACGCUAUGUAUCCCAAGGGAAUUUCGUGUAAUGGAGAACGAGAGAACAUAAACAUCGCUUACCGGGUAUAACUCAAGAAAGAUAUUAUUAGAUAUCGAAAUUUCAGAUAAAUCCUGCCUUUUGAUAAAUAACAGAAAGAGCUGCAAUACACAGCGGAGGAAUGUUCGAGAAAUUAUAUCAGAAAUAAUGAUAAGAGGUUUUCACGUAACUUCCUUCUGCAUCUUUUCUUAAUUUAAAAUCAUUUUAGUCACCUUUUCCUAUAUGAUUUUCGAGAAAUCAUUUAAGUUUCUUGACAACAUGUCUGACAAGUUGUAUGACUGAAGACGUAAAUUCCCAUAAAAAUAGUUUAGGCAUCAAAACGAAAAAAAAAUUAAUUAAUAUUAGAUCGUUGCCGUGCGGCUUAACGAUAUAAAUUUGUUGUGUGCUGCGAACAAUCCGCGCUCGAUAAGAAUAAGUUAAGUUACGCAGCUAAUCACCGCGAGCGAAUUAAUUGACUUGCUAACUAAUCGAUAUGUGCGCAAACGUCCUCUCGUGUAACGGGCGAGAGGGAAAGCAUCGAGAUAGCGGCUUUGAGCCGCUAUCAAGUACCGCGUCCGUGGGGACUUCUAUAUUGGUCUCUCAUCACCGUCCGAGCGAGAGUUGAAUGCCUUAUUCAUAAAUAUCGAUUCCGUAUGCAAGCGUAUUAUAUCCAUCGCUAGAGUAUGCAGAAUAAAUACUCGUUUCACGAGGAGCGGUCUGCAAAUGGAGAAGAACUGAAAGGGGAGAGGACAAACAUCGCCCCGACGCGUACGCAGCAAGAAAGAGAAGAAUAAAGUAGGGCAACGGGAGGGGAGACAAAAGUGAUAUGAUUACAUGCCAAAAGUCCAAUUAUCAGAGAUCGAUGAAAUUGAAAGAAACUAUAUUGAGAUAUGCUUGAGGGCUUUUUGCUCUUCCUAAUAUAUUAUAGCGGCAACUUAAACGCUCUUCUCUUUCCAGACCAUUCCCUUCUCUCUUAAUCACACGAUUUUAUUUAUGUCGGUAGGAAAAUGGUGGAUUACGUUUUUCCAACAAGUACGCGAAUAACGUUGAUGGGCAAACGGAAAAAUACGUGGGUAUUUAUUCCGCGUCGCUCUCACAACUCCCCGGUGGCUGAAACUUUUUUAAUGGAUGGGAAUCGAUUGCAAAUCUUCGGAGAAUAUCUUUAAAAUGAAAUGAGAGAGAGAGAGAGAGAGAGAGAGACUCUACAAGAGCAAAAGAACACACAGGUUUUCUAUUAAAUAUAGAUGUAAUUCCCAACUAAGUUACUUACAAUUAGUUUGGAAGUGCGCGUGUAAAUUUGUAAAUCCCAAGAGUCAGUAUAAAUUCACGUUCAACUAGAUCACUGCUGAUAAACUACUUUAUUCCGACGAUAUAACAAAUUGAUUCGUCCAUACGGUUGAACUAAGGAGAAAAUCUACGGCAAGCGCAAGUGAAACUGAGGAAAAAAAACAGUACUUUUUACGCGCGUUCUGCAGAGGUCGGACUUGGCGGUCUCGCCGAAGUGGUUUCUUACCACUAGACGACGACGACGUCGCUCUCUCGACGAGAGCUCUUCCUCAAACGACAUGUGAGGUUUUUUUUUCCUCAACUCGCCCGUACGCGUCACCUUUGUCACCGAUCACUCACGAUCGGCGCCGACCGUGCCGCGAUGAAUCAAACGAAUUGGCGGCGCCGAGGCGUCAUGCCAGGUCGAUUUCCAUUUGUGCGCGCCAACGUCCCGGCACACCUCCGUUUAUCGCGCGAUUUCGAGUCUACGAGAAAGUUAGCGAAACGAUCGCCGAUCUCCGGGGCUAACUAGCGACCUAAGAAUACCUGUCGCGCUGAGAACAUGAUUGCACUAGCGGAGCAGAGCCGCUCAACCUUUAGAAAAUUGCCGCUUCUUAAAAUAAAGCUUUCUUAGACCUUAAAGAUAAAACGCGAACUAUAAUAACUAGAAUUUCUCCAUGCCUCAUUGUAACUUAUAUGGGGCGCAAGGAUAUAAAGAUGAUGGCUCAUAUGGGUGAAAGGAAAGCAAGUGCUCUUAGAAGAAGGCGGAGGAAAAAGCUUUCGCCUUGAAGCAUGACGCGGAUGACAUUUUUUUUCUUCUACAAAAUUGUUCGAAUCAAUCUAACUGCGACGUUAUAUCUCGCGCCUCCUAUUUUUGGAUACCUGGCGCUACUCUCGAUCACCCUUAAGGCCGAUCAGCCUCAUCGAUAUCUUCGAUAUUUCUGGGAUGCACGGGAUGCGGCUGUUUGUUAAGGUACUGUUUACAAUGGCGGUGAAGAAAAACAACAGAAAGGGGUGGCCUUAAUCAAGAGCACGGGUUUCUCUUUAGAAAGGGGCAGCGGGGUAUUCUUAGAACGCUGAGAGGUGGUUGUCUCUCGGUGAUCGAGUCCUUGCCGGGGAUUAUUGAUGCGGCGGUUACAAUGAGAACUGGCCUCUAACUACCUGUAACUCUCCCCGUAAUGGAUAGCCUCUGGGAAAGAAGCCUCUCCUCGAAGCGCCUCGGCUACGCGUAGAUGGCGAGGGGAAACGUAACAAUGCGUCGACUGGAGAACGUAUUUCACGAGUAAAUCGGAAGUCGCCAAAGGUGGAGAGUAAUUAACGCGAAUUGUUUGACGAAGAACCACCGAUAUCAGCUUUAAUAGAGUGUGCACGUGAAACGCGCUUUUGUUAAUUCCUACCAGUCCUAAAUUAAAUCCCACGAUAUUCAUGUAUAUUUAAUAAAUAUGUAUGCGCGCGUGUAUAAUUUGCGUAUUAAUAUUUAAUUAAACUAUAUCGGUGCAUCAAAUAUGCAUCAUACAAGGUAUUAUAGUAUCUUUAUGCAUUAUGCGGGCUGUAUCCUUAAAAUUCAGCGCUGUUCGUCGACUAUUCGGCCGACUAGAGCAAUUUUUGGAAAUGCGUAAGUUCGGUUUUGCCAGGUAUCAGAAGUAGUAAAGAUAGCAGUUCGCGAAUGACAAUUAUGUGAUUACUGCGCCGAUCGUCAGUAGCGCGGCUGAAUGCCGCGCGUUUACGUACCUAAAAUGAGGUAAUACUUCUCUACAACAUCAGAGUACGAGAGCCCUUCGGUGGAGCGCAUCGCGGUCUCGAUUCACGUUCUAAAAAGGGAGCAGCGCAAAUCGAACAUUGGAAACGAUUGUACGUGCGCAUAAAGCCAAGCAUCUGUGAGCUCUUCCCAUGCUCUUCCGUCCCUCCCGUCACUCGCCGCCUCUGUGUACUUUGCGAGUAGUCCCUAAUUGCAGAGCGCGUUGCUCGACGACGGACGAUCGAUGAAUUCGGUCCGGUUCCUAUCCUGGCGCUUCGCCUGAAAAAUGAAUCCGCCCUAGACAAUGUACUCCGCGUGGCGCGUGAUAUAAUUGGGCCGGGAUGUAUGAUUAAUCGAUCGGCAGGUUAGUCGUCGACGAAUCGGAGACAGGCUCGCCGCUCGCUCGUUAAUUACCGUGGCGCCUUGAUGGAUCGCUCGCGCGAAGAUACCGACGCGGUUAAAGUGUCCUUCGCGUAAGGAUUAGUGCCGUUGUUUGUAGCGCACAAUUCUUAGCUCUCUAUAACGCCGGAUGAUCAUUCACGUGGCUUAACGUACGUAGUCUGCAGUAGUGGUUGCAUCGCAUUGCGGAAGCUUCGUCUAAACGGUAUACAAAACGCAGCCGCAUUGCGAUCUGACGUACACUGUCCUCGGGACGAUAUUAAGCUACACGCAAAUGUGAUAUCUUAGGAUUACCGAGGACCGAAGCUGAGGAUUCCUUUGCAGAUUAUGUCUCUGAAUGGCAAAAUUAAUGUAAUAGAUUAAAUCCGCAUUCUUU